AGAGUUUGAUCCUGGCUCAGAACGAACGCUGGCGGCAGGCCUAACACAUGCAAGUCGAACGAUGCCUUCGGGCAUAGUGGCGCACGGGUGAGUAACACGUGGGAACAUACCUUUUGGUGGGGGAUAACUUCGGGACACUGAAGCUAAUACCGCAUACGCCCCUUGGGGGAAAGAUUUAUCGCCGAAAGAUUGGCCCGCGUCCGAUUAGCUAGUUGGUGAGGUAAUGGCUCACCAAGGCUCCGAUCGGUAGCUGGUCUGAGAGGAUGACCAGCCACACUGGGACUGAGACACGGCCCAGACUCCUACGGGAGGCAGCAGUGGGGAAUAUUGGACAAUGGGCGCAAGCCUGAUCCAGCCAUGCCGCGUGAGUGAUGAAGGCCUUAGGGUUGUAAAGCUCUUCACCCACGACGAUGAUGACGGAGGGAGAGA
rnacentral:rRNA from 1 species